rnacentral:rRNA from 1 species
AGACGGAGGGUGCAAGCGUUGCUCGGAAUUACUGAGCGUAAAGGGUGCGUAGGCGGCCUUUCAAGUCCGGCGUGAAAGCCCAGGGCUCAGCCUUGGAAGUGCGCCAGAAACUGGAAAGCUAGAGUAUCGGAUGGGAGAGUGGAAUUCCUGGUGUAGCGGUGAAAUGCGUAGAUAUCAGGAGGAAUACCGGUGGCGAAGGCGACUCUCUGGACGAUAACUGACGCUGAGGCACGAAAGCGUGGGGAGCAAACAGGAUUAGAAACCCCGGUAGUCC